GGUCAAGCUACAAAGGGCGCAUGGUGAAUGCCUUGGCAUCAGGAGCCGAUGAAGGACGCGAUAAGCUGCGAUAAGCUUCGGGUAGACGCACAUAGUCAGAGAUCCGAAGAUUUCCGAAUGAGGAAACUCACAUGGGAAACCCCAUGUAUCAUAAAGUGAAUACAUAGCUUUAUGAAGGUAUACCCAGGG
rnacentral:rRNA from 1 species